UACGGAGGGUGCAAGCGUUAUCCGGAUUUACUGGGUUUAAAGGGUGCGCAGGCGGAUAUGUAAGUCAGUGGUGAAAUCUCUAGGCUUAACCUGGAAAUUGCCGUUGAUACUAUAUAUCUUGAAUGUUGUGGAGGUAAGCAGAAUAUGUCAUGUAGCGGUGAAAUGCUUAGAUAUGACAUAGAAUACCUAUUGCGAAGGCAGCUUACUACGCAGAUAUUGACGCUCAUGCACGAAAGCGUGGGGAUCAAACGGG
rnacentral:rRNA from 1 species